rnacentral:rRNA from 1 species
AACCUCAAGUCAGACGGGGUUACCCGCUGAACUUAAGCAUAUCAAUAAGCGGAGGAAAAGAAACCAACCGGGAUUGCCUCAGUAGCGGCGAGUGAAGCGGCAAGAGCUCAAAUUUGAAAUCGGGAAACCGAGUUGUAACCUAUAGAGGAUGCUUCUGGCGCGGCUUGGCCAAGUCGAUUGAAUGCGACGCCUUUGAGGGUGACAGCCCCGCCAGGUCAGCUGUCGUUGCCAGUGUGAAGCUCCUUCAACGAGUCGAGUAGUUUGGGAAUGCUGCUCUAAAUUGGAGGUAAAUUUCUCCUAAAGCUAAAUAUUGGCCAGAGACCGAUAGUGAACAAGUAGCGUGAGCGAAAGAUGAAAAGUACCCUGGAAAGAGGUUUAAAAGGACGUGAAAUUGCUGAAAGGGAAGCAUUUGUGGCUAG